rnacentral:ncRNA from 1 species
ACCCGUGCAGUGAUGUACGGUUGGGUUACAAGAAGAAGUCAGCAGAUGUCAUAGUACCAAUUUUUUUCGGGAAGGAC